GGGGCUGAUCGGUUUCGACUUGGGACGUUAGUUCCUGGAGAAGCGGGUCGAGAAGCCAGCGUCAUCUCGUAAACGAUCGCUGGAAACCAAUAACUGCCAACACCAAUCGCAGUUCCUUCGCUCUCGCUGCCUGAGCAGUGAUCGAAGCGUCAGACCGGGCACCUGUCUCCGUCCCGGAACCUGGCGUCGACUAGGAGACUUGCUGAUCACCUGUAGUCAGGAUGGGUGAUCGGGACUCAAACCUGACUGAGCCCGUCGGUGACGUGUCUGUGCGAGCACCGGGGCUGAGAAAACGACAUCACAGACUGCACCCGGAGAAGACCAGGUUCGACGCUCGAGGACGCGGGUUCGAUUCCCGCCAGCUCCACCA
rnacentral:tmRNA from 2 species